UACAGAGGUGCCGAGCGUUAGGCGGAAUCACUGGGCUUAAAGCGUGUGUAGGCGGAUGCCUAAGUACCUUGUGAAAUCCCCCGGCUUAACCGGGGAACUGCUUGGUAUACUGGGUGUCUUGAGCCACUUAGGGGCGACCGGAACAAACGGUGGAGCGGUGAAAUGCGUAGAUAUCGUGUGGAACGCCAAUGGUGAAAACAGGUCGCUUGGAGUGUGCUGACGCUGAGACACGAAAGCCAGGGGAGCGAACGGG
rnacentral:rRNA from 1 species